AUUGAACGCUGGCGGCAGGCUUAACACAUGCAAGUCGAGCGAGCGGCGGACGGGUGAGUACUGUCUGGGAAACUGCCUGAUGGAGGGGGCUAACUACUGGAAACGGUAGCUAAUACCGCAUACCAUCAGAUGUGCCCAGAUGGGAUUAGCUAGUGGGUGGGGUAAUGGCUCACCUAGGCGACGAUCCCUAGCUUGUCUGAGAGGAUUACCAGCAACAAGGGAACUGAGACACGGUCCAGAGUCCAACGGGAGGAAACAGUGGGGAAUAUUGCACAAUGGGCGAAAGCCUGAUGGAGCCAGGCGGCGGGUGUGAAGAAGGCCUUCGGGUGGUAAAGCACUUUCAGCGAGGAGGCGUUACUCGCAGAAGAAGCAACGGCUAACUCCGUGCCAGCAGCCGCGGUAAUUC
rnacentral:rRNA from 1 species